rnacentral:rRNA from 1 species
UACGGGGGGAGCAAGCGUUGUUCGGAUUUACUGGGCGUAAAGAGCUCGUAGGCGGCUCGUCGCGUCGACUGUGAAAACCCGUGGCUCAACCAUGUGGUCUGCAGUCGAUACGGGCAGGCUAGAAUUCGGUAGGGGAGACUGGAAUUCCUGGUGUAGCGGUGAAAUGCGCAGAUAUCAGGAGGAACACCGGUGGCGAAGGCGGGUCUCUGGGCCGAUAUUGACGCUGAGGAGCGAAAGCGUGGGGAGCGAACAGG